AUUGAUGCAUGAUGGAUUUUAAAUGACCCACUGGUUCUCCCUAUAUUAUAUAUAUGUUAUGUUUAUGAUGUCAUCAUGCAUGAUCUAUGGUGGUAAGACUAGGUGAAACCUAAUAAGCCCUUGGCACACUGCUUUAAGCAAAAGUCCUGAGUAGCCUUUGUAUGAGCUGGACACAUUAGAUACAUUAAGCGAAAGUCCUAAGAAACCUCUGUUUGAUUCAGGUAUAUUGGAUUUGGUGAAUCACUGUUGAUAAGUCCAUUUUAUGUGGAAUAUUUUUUAUGUAAAAAUUCAUUUGGA
rnacentral:misc_RNA from 1 species